GAUUCAAUAGAAGGAACUUGGCUAAAAAUAUUUUCCAGGUUUUCAACGGCAACAUAUUCUCCUUGUGAAAGCUUGAAUAUAUUCUUCUUCCGAUCAAUAAUCUUCAUGCUUCCAUUAGGUUGCCACUCUCCAAUGUCCCCUGUUGAAUAAACUUCAAAAUGUGAACCAACAGCCAAUUUAAAUAGUAUAUAUAAAAUACAAUUUUGGAAAACACAAAUGAAAUAACCUGUAUGGAACCAUCCAUCAACCAGAACUUCUUUCGUGAGGUCUUCACGUUUGUAGUAUCCUGAAAACAAGGUAUCACCCUUUACACAAAUUUCACCUCUUGGUGUGCUUGCAAGGGCAUCAUAACCCAUUUCCGGAACAGAUUCCAGGCACGCAUCCACAUUGGGUACAGGAGGACCCACUGUUCCAAGCAUGUCUAGUUCAUCAGGUAAUGAGACAAAGGUUCCCGCAAAGGUUUCGGUCAGACCUGUUUUCAUAUAAACAAAAAGACAUAUCAGUAAAGUUCAUAGUCAAGUAUAAAGGGCCGUAAAAGUCAACAUUCAAUAUCGGCAACAUUAACUAAAACAUAAAUGGAGAUUCAACUAUGCAUCUGAGCGCACAUGGCACAGUGUAAAUUUUGAUUUCUACUACAGAAAGAGCAUACCGUAUCCUUGUAGGACAUGAGAACAAGUCACCACCCGUAAGUAACUUUCCACAUGCAUAGACAGAGGUGCUGCUCCAGACAAAAUAACACGUACAUGACCCCCUAAACCUUGCUUUACCUAAUCAAAUUGCAAAACCAACUCAUGAUUAGCCAAAAAGAGAAAAUACAUUGCUGUCAAAAUGGGCUGGUAAUUAAUCUCGUAACUUUUACUACCUUAUCAAACACAACUUUGUCAAGAAGUGGAGAUGCUGCUGCAUGCUUAUGCCCUUUCUUCAUGUUAUUCAACUUACUGCGAUAAAUUCGCAGUGCUUAUAUUAUUUAGAAUAUUGCAAUGCUUAUUGGGACAGCCAAUAGUUAAAUAGACCAACCUAAUUAAGAAAUCUAAAAGAAAAUUUGUGCAUGAUUUGACAAAGGAAAACUAAUGGCUUCCUAAUAUCUUAUAGAGGAUUUGUGACAGUUCAUUAGUACUUACUAUGAAUAAGCAAAGUUGAAUAAAGUCUUCUUCAGGAAGCCUCCAGAAGAAAUAUUUUGUGUCAAACCUGCAUACGGGAGUUGAGAGUCAUAAUUUCCUUCUUUUUUUUUCCUAGCUGGGAAAAGGGGUGGCAGCUCAGGAAAAUAGGAAAGAAAUGUGGAAAAAUAAUCCCACACCAAUUACCAAGAAAUAAUUUAAACGGUAGUUUUGUUCUCUUGAGAACAUAAUCUGACCAUCAACACCAUACACCAAUCAGAAGAGAAUACCUGAGUACACUCUAUCAAGUACACGGGGUACAGCACAGAAAAUAGUUGGUUUUAGCUCCCCGAGGUCUUCAAUUAGCAGCUUACCAUCCUGCAAACAUUGUGCAAAUGAUGGACAAGAUCAUAUUCAAAUCCAAUCAAAUUCCAGAUUUUGACUUGUUGGGGUGAUAAAAUCAAAUCUAGAGUUCAAUUAUCACAUUAAAUUAUAAUUCAGUAACGACCAGUUUAGUACAUUAACUCACCCCACGCCAGAAGCCUAUCGAGGCACCAUGCCAUAUAAAUGUCUCCUCAAUGACCCUAUCAAAGGAAUGUGCGAGAGGAAGGUAUGAUAAGUACACAUCUUUCUCGACCAACUGCAAUGAAGGAAAAAGGAGGGGAGAUUAUGUAAGUCAAAGAAGGACACUUGAGUGUUUAGUAUCUUAAUACUAGAGGGAAAAAACCAGAGCUUUGAAAUUAUAUAUUUAAUAUACAUGAAUUAAAUGAAAAGAAAUUGCUUAUAGGGAGUGCUUGGUGCAUUCAUGUAGUUACAAGUGAAAUAUAACAAAGAACAGCUUACUUUUUCAUUGACACUCUCCAACAGCCGCUUAACCCCAGCUAAGAGGGUAAUAAUACUCUCAUUGGAUAUCAAUACUCCCUUGGGGUCACCAGUAGUUCCACUAGUAUACAUUAUUGUACAGAUAUCACUUCUUUGCUUUGUAGGUAGAUCGAAACUCUGACUUUCACCCUGUGACGAUUAUUAAAAAUCAAAUUAGGAAUGGCAACCACAAACUGUCCGUAGAGAAGUAACAAAAAUUUUCUGCUAGACAAACUUUUAAUGAGAUUUAGAAAAGUAACUUCAACUAACUUAUAAUGAAUACGUAUCUAUAAAAAAUUGAAACAAGUCAACUAACUUAUAAUGAUAAGUUUCAAAUAUCAUGAUAUCAUCAUUAGUUUUAUUAUUUUAAAUACGUAACAAAUAUGUUAACUUUUUUCUUUCCACACACUCCAGUUCCACUAUUACUUAGAGAAGAGUAACUGCCAGUGGUCCUAGAUAGUGAUACAAGUCAUAUAAUUAUUUUUGCUGCAAAGGAGACUCGGAGCACUUGUAGUUAAUGGCAAUUAUAUACAGAAGGAGUAGCUUUCAUGUCAAAAUUAUUGACAAGUAAUAAUAAAUGAAAUGAAUAGCCCACCAAUUGUAAAAAUUCAGUCCAUGAAUAUAUUGCCAAUCCAAACUUUCCAACUUCUUGCUUUUGUUCAGGGGUAACCUUUCCGAAGCUCACAAUGGCUGUAUAAAGACAUAAAAGUCAGUCACUGCUUCUUUCAAAAGCACAUGUAAUGUAGCGAAGAAAGAAGAUAAUUAAAAAUACUUACUCAUGAGAUAUUUGGUUGCAUUUGGAAAUGUCUUCAACAGCUGAAAUGUUUUUUUUUUAAAAAAAAAAGGAUAAGACAAUAUUCACAGAAAAGUGUACCUAACUCUCUAAUCCUUUAAAUUACUGUGAAAUAGAUUAUUUCAAUAGGAUGAACCUCGGGUAUCUUCUUUUCUUCUGCAAAUGCAAUUGAGACCUCUGCAUGGGAUAUAAUAAAUUCUAUGGCCCUAGAACCUAAUUCAUAUAUGUAUGAAAGUGUCAAAGCCAUUGGUAUUUGGAAAUUCAAAAUUAGAAAACUGAAUUUGAAUGAGUAUUAGGACGGCAUGUAUUUCCGGUGAAAUGAAAAAAUAACCUAACAAAACUCUUGUGAUUAUCAAUAUCUACAUAAUGGGACAUUCUACCAGUAUUGUCCAAAUUUGAAUUUUCUACAACGAAGUAAAUUACAAACAAGUUAUCAUUGCUGUGAGAAAGUUUAUCACAAUUUUAGGCAACUAUAGCAAGUUUCGGCGAACGUUUAGUAAUUUUAAGUAGGUAGAUUUUCAAAGAAUGGAUAAAUGAACUCACUUUUUUGUUUAUAAAAUCACAAGGAUAAAAACAUGUAUACCAGAUGGACAUUAAAGUUCUUAAUAAAGUGUGAAUUAAGAACUUACAUUUUUUUUUUAAUCAAAUAUAUGAAACUUUGUUCAUAAAACAUGUAAGUUUUUUCUAAGUGCCUAAAUUAGUGAACUUUAGUGAAAGUUAGCAAAAAAAUGCCAUAUUGACAGAAACAUUGCAACUUUUCACAAAACAUUAAAGGGAAAAUCUCAUGUACAAUAUAUUUGGAAACCAAAUUCCAACUGCAGUUGAGUAAAAAUACCAAUUCUAAGUAGAAACAUGCUAAAUGUAUGCACACACCUAAGGUGUCAUAUAAAGGAACACAAAGAAGUCCAUGAGCAUUGCAAGCCUGCAAGAGUAAUGGGUCAAUCAGGCAGCAAGAGUCAGCUUGAAGAACAAAACAGGGCGUUGGAAUUGGGAAAAUUUUAAAAGACAGCCAAGAGGAAAGGAAUUUAAAAAAUAAAUGUACCUCCAUGCUCAUAAUCCACUCUGCAGAAUUGGCACCAUAAAUACCACAUUUUACACCCUGCAAACCAGAAAUUAAUAUGAAUUAAGCUCAAAAAAACAAAUCACUAGAAAUAAUAAUUACCUGCACAAGUGAAAUGCCAAAAUCACACAAGACAAAUGUUACAGGCUUAGGUUCAACAGGAAAAACUGUGACAAAGAGUCAAGCAAUUGAACCUGCAUGGCCUGUUCUUGGUAAGUGAAAAACUAUUGAACUACUCAUGCCGCAGAUAGUGACAUUAUCAAUAAUAUAUUAUCAAAGAAAUUAAAUAAGAGGUAUCUGAAUUUGGAAUUUGCAUGAAACCAUCCACAUUGCCAUUGGCCCAUUGCACAUCAAUGCUGAUUGUAAAUAAUGAACAACCCAACAGAUACAGAGAAUCCAAGAAUUGGAAUAUUGUACAAAGAGCAAAAUGCUAUUAAAAUAACCAAAAACAAAACAAAAUUACAUUUUUCGGUAAUCAAGAGACAGAAGACUUACUUCUCCAUAACCACAGCUGCGGAUGGAAUUUCCGACUUUGAUCACUAUGUCAUAUACUUCUUUGUAAGUUUGCCACUUGUACUUGCCAUGCUGUUAAGUAUCAAAAUGAAACGUGCAUUUAAAUAAACAAAAAGCCAUGGGUGGUCCCGCAAUGGCAAGAAAUUUUCCAGAAAACAAAAGAUUUAUAUAGUAACAGAGAAUUUACCUUCCCAUCUACAAUCUCUCGGGUACCAAGCAUAGGAUUAUUUGGAUACUUCUCAACAGACAAUCUGUAAAACUACUAUAUCAUUAGAAUUGAGAUGACUAAUAUGGUAUUAUCUUAGAUUCUUAUCGUUAAAAGCCCCAAUUUCUGUUAGUGAUGUAAAAGAGAAUGAAAACUCUAGAAACCGAACAACAAACUCUGAUUUAGUACUAAACAAAAAAUAAAUUAAAACAUAUGAUUGAGAUCAGAGAGCUUUUUUUUGCAUUUUAGCAUAAUAAUUCAACAAAAAAUAAAAUAAAAUAAAAUAGAAAAUAAGAAAUAAAUGCAGCCGAUCUAGUACUAAGUACAGAGAUACCAACAAUGAAUGGUGAUUAUUUCAAGAAAAAGAAGGUUCAACUAAAGUCGUCACUAAUUCAGUAUCAAAUCUACACUACAUGAAAUAAAUUGAGAAAGAAAAUAGUAUAUUCCUAUCUAUGCAUUGAAAUUAAAGCGAAGAGAUAACCUAACCGGAAAACAUCCCAGCAACUAUCAAGACCUUGAAUAGGAGCAGGAAAUCCAUCUUUAGCGAAGAUGCUACGAUAAGCAGGUCCUCUGGAAGGUCUAUCUUCAGUUGCUUCCUUUGCUUUUUCGACUUCAAUGAUGAAUCUCUUCUGCGCCAUGGCUCUGUCUGUGUUGUAACUGUUCCGAUUGAAGAAGUUAUUAAGGAAAUGAGAAAGUAGCUGAGGAAUUCAGAAUUUGAUAUUGUAACACAUUUUUUACACAAAGUUGACACAACUGUAUACUACUGUUCCUUAAUACCUUUAUUUUCAUUUUUUUUCCUUUCCCUCUCAAUUUCCUCUUUCUUGACACGACAACACACUCUUUCCCUCUUUCAAUCCAAUUUUUGACAGAUUCAUUACCACCAAACCUCAUCUUUCUCUCACUAGCAAACCUCUUCUCCCUCCACCACCAUUCAGCUUCAACUCCGAUUUGCACCAACAAUUUUUCAUUUCCAAUCUACGAAGAUUCAGCGUUCUACUUCUCGACCACUCAUUGUUGUUGUGUUGCAACUGUACUUAGUUAACUGACUUAAUUUCCUCAAAUAUAUAGUUAAUUAGUCAGUUUCUGUCAAAACUUCAAAAUUUCACCCAAAUUUGCAAUAAAAUAUAAUGAAUGUGCGUCUUGUACUAAUCUGAGGUGAAAAAAUAAUCACAAUUGAUAAUUUUAGCAUUGUUUUGGAGGGAAAAUAAAGUAAGAAUACAAUCAACUAACCAAUUUAAUACAAUCAAAGUCAUAAAAAAAUCCCAAAUCUAAAACCUAAUAAGAGAGAUUUAAAACUGAAAAUGUAGUAGAUUACAUCGAUUACCCGUUGUUGUUGUUAGGUUAAAUGUUGGAGCCUGAAGUAUGAGGUGUUGGAGACUGUGCAGCGGUGGACGGAGGAGUGUGGUGGUCAUGCAAUUGAGAGAUUCCGCAGAAGCUGGUCGUCUUUCAGACUCCAAUCGCAGCUGUUCGCGGUUGCCAUUGUGGCCGACGGACCACGGUGGUUCGAUACCAACUCGCCAAAGAUUGGGCGCGAAAGAGGAUUCCGCGGCAAGCUAAGCGUUUGAAGAAAAAUAUAAUUUCUCUUACACCCGUAAUUCUUUUCUACCCUGAAUUUUCGUUUUUGCACUUGUAUAAAAAAUUCGGUUUCUUAACCGAAAUUUUUUUGCGUUGAAAAAAAAACAUUCGGUUUUUGCAAACCGAAUUUUUCUGCAAGGACAAAAUUGGAAUAUCGGGGUAGAAAAAAAUCACGUGGUCGGAAGAGAAAUUGUUAGAAUAGAAAAUAUAAUAAUAUUAUUUNNNNNNNNNNNNNNNNNNNNNNGAAAAUAUCUCGAUUUGGUUUGUUUAUUAUAAUAUUAUAAUAUUAUUUGGUUUGUUUAUUCUUAGCCCUAUAAUAAAGGGAUUUAGUUUAGAUUUAAAUUUAUUCACUUGGUUAUAAAUAUCAAGGUAGUAUCAUACUAUUUGUUAAUGUAAAUAAUGUAAAUAUUGUAAUUAGGGUUAUUGCCAUCAUCAUCAAUAAUAUUUUAUUGUUCCUUAUUAUUUUCUCCUANNNNNNNNNNNNNNNNNNNNNNNNNNNNNNNNNNNNNNNNNNNNNNNNNAUUCCGCUGCAAGCUAAGCGUUUGAAGAAAAAUAUAAUUUCUCUUACACCCGUAAUUCUUUUCUACCCUGAAUUUCCGUUUUUGCACUUGUAUAAAAAAUUCGGUUUCUUAACCGAAAUUUUUUUGCGUUGAAAAAAAAAACAUUCGGUUUUUGCAAACCGAAUUUUUCUGCAAGGACAAAAUUGGAAUAUCGGGGUAGAAAAAAAUCACGUGGUCGGAAGAGAAAUUAUCGAAGAAAAACUCACAAUGCAGAGAGAAAGUGCAACCAUUGUGACGAAACUGCCCCUAUGUAAAAAAUUGAAGUGACGAAACCACCCUAUGUAUGCAUAAACGGUGUCAAAUACAUGUGUGUCAAGUAUAUGUGUAAAAUUGUGUUCCAGUAACAUUUCUAAAUUAUUCAUAGUACAUUUCUAGAAAUGGAGGGAGUAUAUUUUGCUCUAUCAAGUAAAACAUGAUGAGUGGCUAAAACCAUAAUGGGACCAUGUGCCUGUGAGUGGCAAAUGCAAUUAUUUGAAACGUGCCUAAGAUAAUGGGGGAUGAGUGAGCCAGAGGGAGCAUAUGGAGAUAUUUAGAUUCGGAUUCGGAUUCUCUGACAUUAGUUAUUUCAAAUUAUGUAGGAUUCAAAAUUACCAUGUUGAGUGUUGAGUUUGGAAUGUGUUUGGUAUAUAACUACGCGUAGCAAUACGAGAAGAAAAUUAACUUCCUUAUUGAUCAUGUUCUGGUUACAUACAAGCCAAGUGUUAAUGAAGUGACUACUUUAACUAAACCGUACUGCUAAUAUGAUAAUUGGAGUUGUAAGGUGCAAAAAGUGUUUACAAGUUAAGUGGCGAAUUAUGAUCACAUCACUAAUGACGCGUUUGCAAAUUAUGUCAACGACCCUUUAUGAUUUGAAGCUGGAAGAUAAGGAUAAUUUGGAAGGUGAUUAUCCAUUGGAAGAGAUUUACUUAGGUACUCCUGAUAAUAAGAGCCUAAUUUAUGUCACCUCAAUUUUGCCAAGGAAAUUCAAUGGUCAAAUUGGUCACACAUUAUAAAGAAUGUUUUGAUUGGGACUACUGUGAAAUGUCACGCCUAAGCAGAUAAUUAGUUGAACAUGGGCUUAGUUGAACACAAGUUGCCUUUGAAAGAGAUUUAAGCAUGUGAAACAAUGGAUCAAGAUUGUAUGACUUUUGAGCGGGAAAGGUGCCUUUGACUCAAUCUCACCCGUCGGAUGCAUCUCACGCUCCAGAUCAUGCCACGUGUCAGUUUAUUUUGAAAAAAGAAAAAACAAAACAUCAUAUUCAGAGAGUUCAAACCCAGAUAUAUUUGCCUUGUAACCCAUCGUCAACCAGCACGCCAACGUGUUACUGCAUCUCCUUCGUCCCGCGUGUUGCUGUCAAGCCGUACUACGUUUCCUCUGUUGAAGAUCCAGUUUUCAUUUGUUGGUGGUCGGUACAACCGUGCAAGGCUGCAUCUGGGCGAUGUUAGCUGUCGAAGGAGAGGUGGGUACCGUGGGUUACUUGGAGGUGGUGGGCUUCGCCAUAUAUGAAGGUUGAAGAGGUUCACCAUGGAAGCAUAAGAAGUGAAGAAGAAGCUGUGGGUGGUGUUUAUUUUUGUGGCAUAAUCUGGAGCAUGAGAUGCAUCCGGCGAGUGAAAUUGAGCCAAAGGCACCCUGCCUUUUCCCAUUCAAAAGUCAUGUAAUCCUAAUCCUUGAAACAAUCCUACUGAGGCUUUACUGCUGAAGUGCGUUAUCAAAGAUCAAAGAGUAAAAAUAGGGAGGCUAUUGAAAGUAAUAUUCAGAUAAUCUACAGCUUCUUUGUUGUUGAGAAUCAUUUAUAGCAUUAAAAACUACAAAAUCUCCUAUACAAGUAAUGUUUAACGAAACGUAGAAUAAAACUGUAAGCAUAAUUCAAAAUAUAUGAAUGGGAGGAUUCAGAACUGCUUCUCAUUCGUAAUCUUUCAAGUUUCAAGAGAGUUGCUAUUCAGUUCAAAAUAAUUAAUUAAUACGAAAAAAGUAACAGUCUAACAAAUGAACUAGAAACAUUAAAUGAAACAAUUAGAGUUUAUUGUAUAAAUCUUUGAAAACAUCUCUAGGUAAAAUACAAGAUCUACACCAUGGUGUCAUUCGAUAAGGGAUGGAAUAGUAUUUUGUUGUCACAGGUCGAGCCAACAAUUUGUUUAAACUUUGUAUUAUCAUAUCUUCAACGGUUGAAUGUGGCAUAUAAUCUACCAUCUCUCCAUAAUGAUAUGUACAGACAGUCACUAAAAGGAACAAUUGAACAGAGGCAAGAACAGUCACAUGCAGAAAAUAAAUUAUCUACAUGGCAUGGCACCAACUCCAAAAGCAUUUCUCAGGCACGGGGUUUAUUUCCACUUUUGUACAUGUUAUCAAUCACAUUCUGUGCACACACAAAAAUAACAUUGCAGUCAGUACUUUCCAAAUACAUAAAUUAUUAAUUGAAGUCUUGAUGCAUAUUUUGAAACAUUUAAGGCGUGCUAGAAAAUUACAGUUGAAAGUGGAGUGGAAAAAGAAAGAAAUUUAAGCUUACAACUAUUAAUUAAAGACUACGCACCAAUUUAUAUCCCCCGUUCAUUUCUACAGAAAAACCUACAGACUAAAUCUCAUGUCACUCGAAAACAAUUUCUUGUGUACUUCAGCAUUGACAUUAGAUAUCCCAAAUUCCUUAAGAUUCAACUACCACGUCGUGUGUUCAGUUUCGAGUCUGUUUGGUACAUAACUAGUUAACUACUCGUAUACAUGCAAUACAAGAAGAAAAUAAACUUCCUUAUUGAUUUCAUGUAUAGGUGCUGGUUUAUAUAUAUACAAGCCAAGUGCAAGUGAAGUGACUACUUUAACUAAACUGUAACUAAUAUGAUAUUAAAGCUGUAAAACAGGGUAUAUCAGUUGCACUAUGAUUAACAUCUAAUCUAAUAACAUGGGAGACGAUCACAUCUAUAAACCGACUAUUAGCCAACUCAAUCAGAUGAGAUUUCCACACCUUUUUUCGUUUAAAAUUGCUCAUUAGAACGAAACUGUCCGGGAAGAAAAGAAUGUUUAAUUUUCAAAGACGAUUGCACUAAAUACCCAUUCUAUAUUCUAAGAAGCUUAAUUUUUUUUUUUUUGAAUCAGAAAUGGAAUUGUGAGAAUUUGACAACUUUUACCUGAUAAUAUUUAAGCAACUGAGGCCUCUUCUUCUUAUAUGUUGGAGUGAUAAGGUCACGUUCCAUAUCUAAUGGAACUGGGUCAAGAUGAACUGCUUUUAUAAAUUCAAAUCCUUUCAACUGCCAAAAGAAUAUCCAUCAACCGAUAAAAUUUCAGGAAAUGUAUGCGCAUACAAACACGUUAGAAUAGAAUCAAUUGGUGCAAGCAUAAGACCAUACACAAACCACUUAAAUAAUCCUUUGAAAAAAUUAUUUUCGGCCAUCCAACCAUUGAAUAUUAGUUAAUUAUGCUAAUAUUUCAUGUUAAAUAUUAUUUCAAACUUUUUCUUUGACUGGUAUUUCAAACUAAAUGCAUAUAAUUAGAUUAGAUGGUCGAUAUCUUAUAUUAUGGUGAAAAAGUUACUUUUUUAAAAAGUAACUUGUGUGGGACAAUAAUAAGAAGCUUAAAUUAGAAAGAACCUUCUUUUCCUUUCCAAUCUUUGAGAGCUCUUCAAGUAUGUAACUUUUUGCCCUAGAAUCUUCACAGAGAGAAUUGAAGUCCGUGGAUAUACCAUUUUCUUCUGCCCAAUGUUCAAGUGCCUGCUUGCUGGGGGUAACAACAGCAACAAGGAAGGCCUCAAAACUGUUUCCGUAAACCCAUAUCUGAUACAGGAGGAGAAAAAACAGUUCAAAUCAGUACGAGUAAAUAAAAAGAUCACUUUUCACAUAUUUUUUCAACUUUAUAUGGGCAAUUUUCAAUACACGCUAGAAUGCUAAAUCAUUGGAAGGGUUCUCAAGACAUACAGAUUCAAUAGAAGGAACUUGGCUAAAAAUAUUUUCCAGGUUUUCAACGGCAACAUAUUCUCCUUGUGAAAGCUUGAAUAUAUUCUUCUUCCGGUCAAUAAUCUUCAUGCUUCCAUUAGGUUGCCACUCUCCAAUAUCCCCUGUUGAAUAAACUCCAAAAUGUGACCCGAUAGCCAAUUUAAGUAGUAUCUAUAAAAUACAAUUUUGGAAAACUCAAAUGAAAUAACCUGUAUGGAACCAUCCAUCAAUUAGAACCUCUUUUGUGAGGUCUUCACGCUUGUAGUAUCCUGAAAACAAGGUAUCACCCUUUACACAAAUUUCUCCUCUUGGUGUGCUUGCAAGGGCAUCAUAACCCAUUUCAGGAACAGAUUCCAGGCACGCAUCCACAUUGGGUAC
rnacentral:lncRNA from 1 species